UACGAAGGGGGCUAGCGUUGCUCGGAAUCAUUGGGCGUAAAGCGCGCGUAGGCGGUUACUUAUGUCGGAUGUGAAAGCCCUCGGCUUAACUGAGGAAGUGCAUUCGAAACUGGGUAGCUAGAGUACUAAAGAGGGUCGCGGAAUUCCCGGUGUAGAGGUGAAAUUCGUAGAUAUCGGGAGGAACACCGGUGGCGAAGGCGGCGACCUGGGUAGAUACUGACGCUGAGGCGCGAAAGCGUGGGGAGCAAACAGG
rnacentral:rRNA from 1 species